rnacentral:rRNA from 1 species
CCACCACCAAAGCAUUUGCUGUACCGCGUUGACGGAGCGAAGCGACGUCAAACCGAUAAAACAGCAGUGUAAAGUGAGCCGCAGGGCGCUUUGCGCGACAGCGCAAAGGCAGGCGGUUUCGCGUAGCGAAAGCGAAUGCUUUGGGGUGGGGUGACUGCGUACCUUUUGUAUAAUGGGUCAGCGACUUAUAUUCUGUAGCAAGGUUAACCGAAUAGGGGAGCCGGAGGGAAACCGAGUCUUAAUUGGGCGUUAAGUUGCAGGGUAUAGACCCGAAACCCGGUGAUCUAGCCAUGGGCAGGUUGAAGGUUGGGUAACACUAACUGGAGGACCGAACCGACUAAUGUUGAAAAAUUAGCGGAUGACCUGUGGCUGGGGGUGAAAGGCCAAUCAAACCGGGAGAUAGCUGGUUCUCCCCGAAAGCUAUUUAGGUAGCGCCUCGUGAAUUCAUCUCCGGGGGUAGAGCACUGUUUCGGCUAGGGGGCCAUCCCGGCUUACCAACCCGAUGCAAACUGCGAAUACCGGAGAAUGUUAUCACGGGAGACACACGGCGGGUGCUAACGUCCGUCGUGAAGAGGGAAACAACCCAGACCGCCAGCUAAGGUCCCAAAGUCAUGGUUAAGUGGGAAACGAUGUGGGAAGGCCCAGACAGCCAGGAUGUUGGCUUAGAAGCAGCCAUCAUUUAAAGAAAGCGUAAUAGCUCACUGGUCGAGUCGGCCUGCGCGGAAGAUGUAACGGGGCUAAACCAUGCACCGAAGCUGCGGCAGCGACACUGUGUGUUGUUGGGUAGGGGAGCGUUCUGUAAGCCUGCGAAGGUGGCCUGUGAGGGUUGCUGGAGGUAUCAGAAGUGCGAAUGCUGACAUAAGUAACGAUAAAGCGGGUGAAAAGCCCGCUCGCCGGAAGACCAAGGGUUCCUGUCCAACGUUAAUCGGGGCAGGGUGAGUCGACCCCUAAGGCGAGGCCGAAAGGCGUAGUCGAUGGGAAACGGGUUAAUAUUCCCGUACUUGGUGUUACUGCGAAGGGGGGACGGAGAAGGCUAUGUUGGCCGGGCGACGGUUGUCCCGGUUUAAGCGUGUAGGUGUGUGUUCCAGGUAAAUCCGGUUCACUUUAACACUGAGGCGUGACGACGAGGCACUACGGUGCUGAAGCAACAAAUGCCCUGCUUCCAGGAAAAGCCUCUAAGCAUCAGGUAACAUCAAAUCGUACCCCAAACCGACACAGGUGGUCAGGUAGAGAAUACCAAGGCGCUUGAGAGAACUCGGGUGAAGGAACUAGGCAAAAUGGUGCCGUAACUUCGGGAGAAGGCACGCUGACACGUAGGUGAAGUGAUUUACUCAUGGAGCUGAAGUCAGUCGAAGAUACCAGCUGGCUGCAACUGUUUAUUAAAAACACAGCACUGUGCAAACACGAAAGUGGACGUAUACGGUGUGACGCCUGCCCGGUGCCGGAAGGUUAAUUGAUGGGGUCAGCGCAAGCGAAGCUCCUGAUCGAAGCCCCGGUAAACGGCGGCCGUAACUAUAACGGUCCUAAGGUAGCGAAAUUCCUUGUCGGGUAAGUUCCGACCUGCACGAAUGGCGUAAUGAUGGCCAGGCUGUCUCCACCCGAGACUCAGUGAAAUUGAACUCGCUGUGAAGAUGCAGUGUACCCGCGGCAAGACGGAAAGACCCCGUGAACCUUUACUAUAGCUUGACACUGAACAUUGAGCCUUGAUGUGUAGGAUAGGUGGGAGGCUUUGAAGUGUGGACGCCAGUCUGCAUGGAGCCGACCUUGAAAUACCACCCUUUAAUGUUUGAUGUUCUAACGUGGACCCGUUACCCGGGUUGCGGACAGUGUCUGGUGGGUAGUUUGACUGGGGCGGUCUCCUCCUAAAGAGUAACGGAGGAGCACGAAGGUUGGCUAAUCCUGGUCGGACAUCAGGAGGUUAGUGCAAUGGCAUAAGCCAGCUUGACUGCGAGCGUGACGGCGCGAGCAGGUGCGAAAGCAGGUCAUAGUGAUCCGGUGGUUCUGAAUGGAAGGGCCAUCGCUCAACGGAUAAAAGGUACUCCGGGGAUAACAGGCUGAUACCGCCCAAGAGUUCAUAUCGACGGCGGUGUUUGGCACCUCGAUGUCGGCUCAUCACAUCCUGGGGCUGAAGUAGGUCCCAAGGGUAUGGCUGUUCGCCAUUUAAAGUGGUACGCGAGCUGGGUUUAGAACGUCGUGAGACAGUUCGGUCCCUAUCUGCCGUGGGCGCUGGAGAACUGAGGGGGGCUGCUCCUAGUACGAGAGGACCGGAGUGGACGCAUCACUGGUGUUCGGGUUGUCAUGCCAAUGGCACUGCCCGGUAGCUAAAUGCGGAAGAGAUAAGUGCUGAAAGCAUCUAAGCACGAAACUUGCCCCGA